rnacentral:misc_RNA from 1 species
AAUUCUCUCAAAUCUAAUCCCUUUGCUGGGUGUUAGACUUGGAUGUGAGGGUUGCCGGUUCUUAUUGGAAUCAGCUCCCUUUAAAUGCAUUAGUAGAGCUAUUCUCGUUUGGUGUUUGAUAGUCUAUCAGUGCCAAUUUUUAGAGUCUUAGUUUUUCUGCUUACAACCCUCUUCGUCUUAAGACGAUGAUUUUGACU